UGGGAGGCUGAUUCACAAAUUGGGCCAAAGUACUGCUCUCAUUGUCACCAUACCUCCUUAGAACAAACUGCCUUUUGAAAAAAUCAAUCCCAUAGAGAUCAGGGAUGCAUACGUUUUCAGGGCUGGAAGCU